AACUUCGCGUUUGAGCAAGUCAGCGACGAUGAGAUCAGAUGUCCUUGUAAGAGGUGUGUGAAUGAAGUGUGGAAGGAAAGGAGUGAUGUCAUGUGCGACUUAUUUGCGUAUGGGUUCAAGCAGGGUUAUACGACAUGGAUCUAUCACGGGGAAACCUGGUUGGAUGAACAUGAAUCAGAAUCGGAAUCCAGAGGUGACGAAAACUUUGACUGUACUAACAUGAUAGUCGAAGCUGCUGGUUCGUACUUUCAGUGGAAU
rnacentral:lncRNA from 1 species